rnacentral:lncRNA from 1 species
UCUAAAGACACAUGCACACAUAUGUUUAUUGCAGAACUAUUGACAAUAGCAAAGACGUGGAACCAACCCAAACGCCAAUCACUAAUAGACUGGAUAAAGAAAAUGUGGCACUUGUCUGAUUUCUCCACCAAGAUCUGUGCAGUGAAGUCUAAAACCCUCUUUCCACACGGUGGUCUUGUUGGUAUGAUUGAGGUGACUCAACUUUCUCCCCUGCAGCUGGUUAGGGCGUGUCCCCUGGUAAGAGCAGCAGCAUGAGAGAGCACGUAAAAACAAGCACUUUUCCAAGACUUAUGUCAAGUCUGCUGUCAUCCUGUUGGCCAAAGCAAAUUCCACUGUCAAAGUCAGAGUAGUCUCAUAGAUCAUAAACAAAUCCGCACCCAUGAAAAGAUUUAGAGAGUCACACAGGAAAGUCAACAGAAGCCAGAGAGAUGAGGGUCCUGGACUGCAUGUCAUUAGUGUGGAUCCUCCCUUUCUUCCUUCUAGGCUACAUCCUGGUGGGAGGCAGGACACUGAAGUACUUAGAACCCCUCAGAAUGGCCAGAUCCUGCUCAUGCUUGGGCUAGAAGAAUGGAACCUUUGUAAUUCUGGACUUGUAAAUGGAAACACAUCACUUACGUUUGAUAUUUUCGUAGCAACAGCAGUUAAAUAGGAACAUGACCCAAGUUAUGCUCUCAAUUUUCACUAAAUGAAUAAAUGAACUAAUUAGUAUUUGUGUCCAAGGGCAAUUGGUUGGCAGUUCUGAGUCAGAAAUAAACAGAAGGACAGGGUCGUCUGAGUGGUCCACCUGCAGACCUAAAGAGCUCAUGGGUCCCACCUUGUCAUGAGGCAGCCAUGUCUUUGUGCUUGGGGAAACAAGAAGGAGGACAUAAGUCCUGAUCAGAAGCCACGUCAAGGCUGCUCUGCUGUGUUGAAGGGAGGGGAGGUAGGGUUACUUCUGACAACACCAAGGUUUUAUUUGUUCAGGAAAAGACCAGAAACAACAGAAGAGUGAUGUCAGGUGAGUAAGCCAAACUUGGCCAGGUGUGUCAUUCACAUAACAUGCAUAUUACACACUUUUGCUUCUGGAGGGAAAAUCCAUUAAUAAAUGCUAAACAAUAGGAUGCUAUCCAGUGUAUUCUGCAUGUUUACACACCAUUGACAUCAUCCAAUUCUCUGAACAAGACCAUCCGUAUUAUGUAUGUAUUAUUCAUGUGGUUAAUAAGCAUGGACAGAGGGCACAUUGUUUACUAGGUUAAGCUCAGGCUACACAAGAAACAUAAAAGGUAGUCCUUAACUUUAAAGCAUUUACAAUUAUAGUCCAGGGUGUGUUUAUAUCUGGCCAUAGGAAGUCUUUAAGGAUGAUGCAAAUUUGUUCAAAGGGAACUCUUCAGAUUAUGGUUAAUGCAGUGGGAGUUCAGACAAGGAUAAAACUGUUAUGAAAUGGAGGAUCUAGAAACAAUGUAGUGUAGAGGGCAAAAUAUAAGCUUUAGUUCUGGACAUGCCUGUGAUCAUAUUCUUACUCACCUAUUAUAAGUUACAUGACACAGUACAUUUCUAGACCUCUGGAGUUCCCAGGUUUAGUAUCUACCAAGUAGAAUUCACAAUA